rnacentral:lncRNA from 1 species
AAUAAUAAACCACACACAUAUCUCAUUUUUAAUUUGCAGGUGAAGUGUUUGCUUUGUUCCCGACAUAUAAUAACAACACGUCAUCAAUGAUGAGGCAUUACCGAGGCAAACAUGAGAAUGAAGCUGGUGCUGCUGUGAUGACGUUUCCACCAGGUGAGUGGGUGCUGUUCCAGGCAAUAUUAAGAGUAACUUUUAAACUUUACUGCGCAGGUUUGGGUGUAUAGAAUUAGUUAAUUAACUAAAUGAAUCUUGUUCUGCUAACUUCCAUAUUUUAUGUAGCAGGAAGCAGGAGCUUGAUGAAGCUCUAGUGGAUUUCAUAGUGAAAGAUUCCCAGCCUUUCACUGUGGUGUCUGAUCCUGGCUUCCGUGCUCUGGUGGCUAAACUGGAUCCCACAUGCACCCUUCCAUCAAGGCAGACAGUUAAAGCCAUGGCGGAGAGGAGGGAUGUGGAAGAAAAGGAGAAGGCCAAGGCAGCCCUGCAGAAUGUUGACAGUGUCAGCUUGAGCGCAGAUAUGUGGACCUCCAUCAACAUGGAUGCGUAUCUCGCUGUCACCUGUCAUGCUAUUCAUGCAGGUGAACUCUCCACCACCCUGGUGGGAGUUCGGCCUUUUCCUAUCAGUCACACAGCAGAGAACAUCGCUGGAACUGCUCGAGAGCUUUCAAGGCAGGGGUGGGGGGGUGCACAUAUAAAAUAUAAAAAUCUUAUUGCGUUGCGGGCCGGAACUCAAACAAAAUGGCAAAAGACCUUGGCAUAAACCUCAAUAGAAUUAUGAAUGAUAAACUCAGUGGGAUAGAAACCACAAGCAUCUUCUCUUUAUCAUCAUUACUUGACCCGAGAUUUAAAACACUCGGAUUCCAAAGCCCUUCAAAUGCCGAGUCAGCUGUGCACCGGUUAAAGUCGGAGUGUGCGGCAUUGUUGCCGAAUGCACCCACCCAAGAGGACCCACCAUCCACUUCAACAGCACAGCCAGAACCAGCUGCUUCUUCCCAAGUCAUUGGUCUGUGGAAGCUGUUGGACAGGGAUGCUGAAGAAGCAAGAGCGUCCAGGAAUGCCACCGCUGAUGCCAUAGUGGAGGUGCAGCGUUAUCUGUCAGCCCCUCCACUUGAACGAUCACAGGACCCUCUGGUGUACUGGACAACAAACAAAGCCCGAUACCCAAACCUGUACCACCUGGCAAACCAGUACCUCGCAACACCAUCAUCCUCUGUGCCCUGCGAGAGGGUGUUUUCUAAAGCCGGGGAAAUAGUUUCAAAAAAGAGAAACCGCCUCAAACCCUCGACUGUGGAGAAACUGUUGUUUUUUAAAUAAAAAUGCAUAAGCACACCAGUUCACCCAAGCACCUUAGGCCCAUACCCCCCAUCUGUUCCUAAAAUAUAUAGAAAAAUAAUAUUAUAAUAAUAAUACAACAUCAAAAGUGCACAAACAGCAAAACUCAAAGUGCACGCUUGCUGGGUCAUCAACCUUUUACAUGGCUGCAGUACCACCAAUGCGCCAGCAGAUGACGCCCGC